AAGGGUUAAUUUAAUAAAAUAGCAAUUAUGGGGGGUUGCUCCGCACCAAAUUGUUGCAAUAAUGAUGCCAAAGGCUUUCAAACGUUUCGUUUUCCGUCUGAUAGUAGUUCUAGAAUAGCUAUUUGGCUACAAAACUGUAGACGUACUAAGUGGAAACCAACUUCAACUUCCAGACUAUGUGAGGUAUAUUUUGAGGACAGUCAAUGAGAGUCACAGCGAGCAGAUGGGUGGAAAAAGUUAAAGCCCAAUGCUGUUCCAACCAUAUUUUAUGUUCCCAACCCACCAAAACUGUUGGCGCCAAAACGACAAUCUCACUACAAGGUUAUGAAAACUAGUGGAAUUGUUGAAUCUUCAAAUAUUAGUGGAACCUGUGAAACUGGAAAAUCUGAUGUAGAGGAUGGAGUUGCACAUCUUCAUGAGGCUCAGGCUACAGAAGAACAGAAGAAAAUUCUUCAGCUCGAAAAUGAAGUCUCCUCACUGAAAGCACAGCUCAAGGAGAAAGAAUCGAUGAUGGAGGUCAUCCUGAAUGAAGAGCAGAUAUCUGCUUUGAAAUGCACGCCAAACCAAGAAUCCAAGACGCCAAUUGCCAAGACUCCCCUCCAGAUGGUGUAAUUGAAACAGUUUUUCCCGAAAGUUCAAAUCUGGACAGUGAGGAUUUGAACUUAUUGUUCAAUAUUGGGGGGAGCACUACGCUUGCAUUGCUGAAAAAUAUCAAAUGUGCGAACUGUGCUGCGUUCCUGAAUCUGGGGGAUACUGAAAAUAACUGGCGAACAUUUUAUGUUGAAUAUCUGAGCAUGAAAAAUUUGGAACACACAUACAGAAAAAUGGAUUGGAUUCUAUCAGUAAAAGAAUUGUGAAAGACAUUGCUGCAGUAAUACCCGAAUGUUGUGAUUUUAAAAGUAAAAUUGUGUAACAUUUCUUCACAGUAAGAUGCUAUGCAUUUCUAUCCAUUUCCUAACAGGAAGUCGGAAAUGUAUGGAACUUCAUCCAAAAAGAUGAAGCACUAGUUAUAUACGACUAGCUUAUCCGGCGAACUUAAUUUCCUAUCCGGCGUGUUAAUUUUCCACUUACCACCGCAGAAGCAGCAGCACUGUGAUCUCCACAGUAUAUUGCUUUUGAUUUGUUUGUUUUUAUAGUUUGUAAUACAUAUUUCUAUAGUUGUUCUUGUUCAAUGAUAAUAUUAAAUGAUGACUUGAUGGUACAAUCCACGUACAAACUUAAAGUGGACAUGGAAUGUUCAUAAACUCAAUGUGAGUUCUCGAGAAAUUUGAGGAAUACAUUGAGAAAUGGGUUGAGACCAAAAAUGUGGGUAAUCAACCUCAUGGCGAACUUAAUUUCCUAUCCGGCGUGUUAAUUUUCCACUUACCACCGCAGAAGCAGCAGCACUGUGAUCUCCACAGUAUAUUGCUUUUGAUUUGUUUGUUUUUAUAGUUUGUAAUACAUAUUUCUAUAGUUGUUCUUGUUCAAUGAUAAUAUUAAAUGAUGACUUGAUGGUACAAUCCACGUACAAACUUAAAGUGGACAUGGAAUGUUCAUAAACUCAAUGUGAGUUCUCGAGAAAUUUGAGGAAUACAUUGAGAAAUGGGUUGAGACCAAAAAUGUGGGUAAUCAACCUCAUGAAGAAUCUGCUUUCUUAUUUCCCUUAAUGUUAUAGUCAAUUUCAGUUUAUUUUGUUUUUAUCUUAUUCACUCUAUUGUAAUAAUAUAUUUUUCAUUUUGGAAAAUAUGAGGCUUUUGUAAUUUGGUAAAAUGUUGAGUAAUGCUAAUAAGACUGGUUAUUAUCAUUCCAUUGUACAUGAAGGACAUUUCCUUUUUUUCUAUAGAUAACUUUGUCCUUCAUGAGUUGUGUUAUAUUUCGGUUUGUUGAUUAAGUAUAAAUAUGCGUAAAAAAUAUAUAUAUUGUUAUUGUUGUCUUUGAUUUUAUGUAUUUUAAAUUUUUUUUAAAAAUAUUGAUUGAAAGAUAUAAUAUUAUUUUGUAAAAACGAAUUAUAAUGUACGAACGUAUAUUAUGUUUAUUGAAAACAAGAAUAUGUGGAUUAUGUUAUGAGUUUUCUAAAAGGAUAGACUACUUUGUCGAAAUUUUCAGUAUUCCCAAUAGUUUGAAAUUGUUAUCGGUUUCCCCAAUAUUGUAAUCAUAUCAGAAUCCAUGAUGACUCCUGUAUUAUGUCAGAAGAUUCCAUUCCAUUUGAAACUGCUGUAUCUUUUUGUUCUUUGGUAGCCGCUCCUUACUUUAAGCUUAUACUUCAUUUUGUAUCAUAUUUAUAUGUAAUUAAAUUUUAGCUUUUACUUUGCUUUAUUACUAACUUAUUUCAUUGAGUUUUGCUUUAAGGAAAAAUAAAUUAAAUAAUUUGAUACUCAAUACAUAGGUAUGUUUCUGGUUCACCCGUAUAAAAAAAUGAAGAAUUGAUCUAAAUCUUAGAUUUAGAUCCUGUAAAUUAAUGUAAGAUUGAAUUUUGUCACAAAAGUCAAUUGAAUCAUUUGAGACUCUUCACUCCAAAUUCACUUCACUGUGUAUCAUAUUCAUAUUUUUAUUUUGUAUUUAAGCUUUGUCUUAGUUUAAUUUAAAGAAAAAAUCCUUGUAUUUUCUUCAUUAUUAAUUUAAUUAUAUAAUUAACAAAUUUAAUUGUUUGAGAUUAAUAAAUAAUCGAAUGAAUGUUUCAGUCUUUAUAAUAAUUACAUGAAAACUGAUUUAAAUUUAGGCAUAAAUUACUGAAAAUUUAUUUGUGAGUCUGUGACUGAUUUUGAGACUCCUUACUUUAAACUUACUCCAUUUUGUGUCACAUUCAUAUUAUGUUAUAUUAAAUUUGAGCUUUUUCUUUGCUUUA